CCCUUAGAUGUUCUGGGCCGCACGCGCGCUACACUGAAGGCAUCAGCGUGUCCUUCCCUUCCCGAGAGGGACGGGUAACCCGCUGAACCGCUUUCGUGGUAGGGAUCGGGGCUUGCAAUUAUUCCCCGUGAACCAGGAAUUCCCAGUAAGCGCGAGUCAUAAGCUCGCGUUGAUUACGUCCCUGCCCUUUGUACACACCGCCCGUCGCUACUACCGAUUGAACGUUUUAGUGAGGUAUUUGGAUCGGAUCGAAGCAGGGUUCGCGCCCUCUUUGUUUCUGAGAAGACUCCCAAACUUGAGCGUUUAGAGGAAGUAAAAGUCGUAACA
rnacentral:rRNA from 1 species